ACUCCUACAGGAAAUGAGGAUUCUCAGAGCUCUCUGACUGGAUCUCCUGUAGCCCAGGCUGGCCUUGGUUUUGCUACGUAAUGACCUUGAGCCCCUGAUUCUCCUGCCCCCGCCUCCUGAAUAUUGGGAUAACAGGCAUUUAUUACCACAGCUGUUUUUAUCACAGUGCUAGGGACAGACAGAGCGCAGGCCUUGUGCAGUUAGGAACCUGAGAGGAGACCAGCCACGUUGAAGGUCGAAGGCAGGACUUCCCUGGCCCAGGCUUUUGGGCGGCGCCCGCCUAGGAGGAGCCUGCCACCCACUGGGAGCGAGCGGUACUGCAGGUGCUGGACACCCACCCCCUACCCAGUCCUUUGACUGAUUUAACUCUGCCCAAAGGGUUCUUGUCCUCAUGUGACUUACAGUCUAUGGAACUGACAAGAGCGACAGAAAUCCCGGUAGCAGCUGAACAGCCUUGGAUCUUUUUUUUUUUUUGGAUGGGAGGAUUUUUUAAAACAACACAAAUAGUAUACAUUCAUAGCCAAAUGUUUAAAAAGAAAAAAAGCCCAGAUAUAGCUUUCCUCAAACAUGUGCAUAGCAGCUACACAAACUGUAGGCAGCCUUUCCGUUUAAAAAAUGUUUAAAUACAAUGUGGUAGG
ensembl:lincRNA 4930401G09Rik RIKEN cDNA 4930401G09 gene